GGGAAAAUGAAAUCAGACAUUAGGGCUUCACAGAACAUAUGACUUCUUUUUCCAUUGGAAAAUAAUGCAGUCAGACCCAAUAUAAGGAACCAUAAAAACCUUAUCUGAUCGUUUAUGUACUAUUUCCCCAAGCACUGUGCAGUCCCUACAUUGAUGGAUUCAAGGCAGUUCCCCCUGGACGUCCACAUGACCAUCAUCAUCUAAUUCUUUCACAUGAAGGCUGAAAACCAUGAGGACUGAUUUAGAUCAUUUAUGUUAAGUAGAAAGCCCAGUGGGGGUUGGGUAGUCUCGUGGCCUUGGAUAUUCUUCUUCUUCUUCUACGACUCCUGAGUAUUAUUAUAUUUGUGAUGAAGUAUUAGCAUUAAUAUCAGAAAAUUCCAAAAUAACAUCAUGAGGGUCACUUUGCAGAUCAGGGUGCAAUGAAAUUGUGACAUCAUUAAUUCUCAAAUGUGUACUCAUUCUUCUCACUAGGAGUAGAUGUAGGAUGCUUAAUAACUACUUCUUAUACAGCUCCAAGGGGAUAGCUCUUGAAAAUCUAAAUUGACUUAGUAUCAGCAUAAAAGUAAAUACAACUUUUAAAAUUCCUGCUUGUAGUGGAAAAUCAGCAGGACCCAAGUAAUAGGACUGCUUCUGAUUCCUGUUGAUUAAUUUUACUGAAGUUAUUGGAUAAAGGGAUAUUGCUCAGUCGUGCUAAGAGAUCCUCACAAAGGCUUGAAAUGUCAAAAAUACCCUUAAGUUUUGUUUGUGAAUGAAGGUAACAUAGUA